AUUAAUUGGGAAGCUGAUAUGUAUUACAGUCUAUGGAUUUAACACAUUUUUACUUUUACUUACAUGUUAAUCUAAUUUAGCUGAGUGUUUGAGUCCCAUUGUUAUUAUUGUUAACGAAAAACGGACAAAAUAACUAAAACUCAAAUGUAAAAUUCAAUUUCGUUGACUGAAACUAAAAUAAAAACGAGGUUUUACCAAAACAGAUAACUGAAACUGUAUUCUUUUUUUUACAAGAUUAAUUAAUAUAAAAACUGAUUUAAAAACUCAAAAGUAUGAUGACCUUGUGUCUGACCAUUUUCUCUGCAUUAUAUUUUCCACUGUUUGUCACAUUACUUAUUUUCUGUCUGUUUGUAUAUUCACCUUUUGUCUUUUGUUCUGGAAUUUUAAAGAAAAUCAAUUUCUAAAUUUACGGAUGUCAGUUAACGCAGCACACCUAAAACUCCCCGAUGUUCUCUGUUUUUUGUUGUUGUUGUUUUUUUGUCGGAGUUUUGUACAACUUUAUCGUCUUCACCGUGAGAGGAGCCUGAAUUUAAAUCCAUCUUAAAUCCACUUAAAAGUUGAUGUUUGGACUAUAACCUUACAGGAGGAUUACAAAAAAACAUUUUGUUACACAAAUUUAACAAACGACAGUACAUCUACGGCAAACAACUGACUCUAAAUAACACAUAAUAAUACAUAAUAACAGAAAAUAUGGAUGGAAAACCAACAUAUCGACGUUGUUAUCGAUUUAUGCUUUAAAACGGCACAUUACACAUUACAGGACGACGGUUACGUCAGCGCGCGGCCGACCGCUGCAACGCCCAAAUCAGCCAAUCCAGGGAUUUAGAAGUGGUUGCUAGGCAGAUUACAGUGAGACAGGUUUGGGGUUUGGGCAGACAGCAGCAGUACAACAACUUGGAAGAAGAAUCCGCGGUUGUAAAUGUAUUUGAACGUUUCGUGAUACUACUGCUGUGUGAACAAUACGAAAACAAUCAUGUUCACCACAGCAAACAUCCGUCUUGACAGAUAGCAUCCUCAACAUGCUCAUCGCUGACAGAAGCCUCUGACGGUGGUU